UGGGGAAUAUUGCACAAUGGGGAGACCCUGAUGCAGCGACGCCGCGUGAGCGAAGAAGUAUUUCGGUAUGUAAAGCUCUAUCAGCAGGGAAGAAAGUGACGGUACCUGACUAAGAAGCCCCGGCUAACUACGUGCCAGCAGCCGCGGUAAUACGUAGGGGGCAAGCGUUAUCCGGAUUUACUGGGUGUAAAGGGAGCGCAGGCGGCGCGGUAAGUCUGAUGUGAAAGCCCGGGGCUCAACCCCGGGCAGCUGCAUUGGAAACUGUCGUGCUGGAGUGUCGGAGGGGCAAGUGGAAUUCCUAGUGUAGCGGUGAAAUGCGUAGAUAUUAGGAGGAACACCAGUGGCGAAGGCGGCUUGCUGGACGACAACUGACGCUGAGGCUCGAAAGCGUGGGGAGCAAACAGGAUUAGAUACCC
rnacentral:rRNA from 1 species